rnacentral:rRNA from 1 species
UACGGAGGGUGCGAGCGUUGUCCGGAAUCACUGGGCGUAAAGGGCUCGUAGGCGGCCAACUAAGUCAGACGUGAAAUCCCCCGGCUUAACCUGGGAACUGCGUCUGAUACUGGAAGGCUUGAGGAUGGGAGAGGGAUGUAGAAUUCCAGGUGUAGCGGUGAAAUGCGUAGAUAUCUGGAGGAAUACCGGUGGCGAAGGCGGCAUCCUGGACCAUUACUGACGCUGAGGCACGAAAGCCAGGGGAGCAAACGGG